rnacentral:rRNA from 1 species
UACGUAGGGUCCGAGCGUUGUCCGGAAUUACUGGGCGUAAAGAGCUCGUAGGUGGUUUGUCGCGUUGUUCGUGAAAACUCACAGCUCAACUGUGGGCGUGCGGGCGAUACGGGCAGACUAGAGUACUGCAGGGGAGACUGGAAUUCCUAGUGUAGCGGUGGAAUGCGCAGAUAUCAGGAGGAACACCGGUGGCGAAGGCGGGUCUCUGGGCAGUAACUGACGCUGAGGAGCGAAAGCGUGGGGAGCGAACAGG